CACCGGCGGCUCGAGUGGUGGCCACUUUUAUUGGGUCUAAAGCGUCCGUAGCCGGCUUGGCAAGUCCCCUGGGAAAUCUGGCGGCUUAACCGUCAGGCGUCCAGAGGAUACUGCCAGGCUUGGGACCGGGAGAGGUGAGAGGUACCUCAGGGGUAGGGGUGAAAUCUUGUGAUCCCUGAGGGACCACCAGUUGCGAAGGCGUCUCACUAGAACGGGUCCGACGGUCAGGGACGAAAGCUGGGGGCACGAACCGG
rnacentral:rRNA from 1 species